GUCCACGCCGUAAACUAUCAAUACUCGUUUUCAGCGAUAUACUGUUGGAGACUAAGCGAAAGUGAUAAGUAUUGCACCUGGGGAGUACGAUCGCAAGGUUGAAACUCAAAGGAAUUGACGGGGGCCCGCACAAGCGGUGGAGCAUGUGGUUUAAUUCGAUGAUACGCGAGGAACCUUACCAGGGCUUAAAUGUAGAGGGAAUGUAGUGGAAACAUUACAGUCUUCGGACCGUCUACAAGGUGCUGCAUGGCUGUCGU
rnacentral:rRNA from 1 species